GACGAACGCUGGCGGCGUGCUUAACACAUGCAAGUCGAACGGAAAGGCCCUGCUUUUGUGGCGUGCUUGUGUGGCGAACGGGUGAGUAAAACGUGAGUAACAUGCCCUUGACUUUGGGAUAACUUCAGGAAAAUGGGGAUCAUACCGGAUAUGAGAUCCUACUGCAUGGUGGGGGAUGGAAAGAUACGGCGGUUGGGGCUGGUCUAGAGGCUUAUCAGCUUGUUGGUGGGGUAGUGGUUUACCAAGGCUUUGAAGGGUAGCCGGCAUGGGAGGUGGACCGGCCACAAUGGGACUAAGAGACGGCGCAGACGCCAACGUGAGGCAGCAGGGGAGAAUAUGGCACAACGGGCGGAAGCCUGUGGCAGCGACCCCGCGUUCGGGAAGACGUCCUUCGGGUGAUAAACCGCUUUCGCCGUAGACGAAGCGAGAGUGACGGUAAUGGGUAAAGAAGCACCGGCUAACUACGUG
rnacentral:rRNA from 1 species